UACGUAGGUGGCAAGCGUUGUCCGGAAUUAUUGGGCGUAAAGCGCGCGCAGGCGGUCCUUUAAGUCUGAUGUGAAAGUCCUCGGCUCAACCGAGGAGGGUCAUUGGAAACUGGAGGACUUGAGUGCAGAAGAGGAAAGUGGAAUUCCAAGUGUAGCGGUGAAAUGCGUAGAGAUUUGGAGGAACACCAGUGGCGAAGGCGACUUUCUGGUCUGUAACUGACGCUGAGGCGCGAAAGCGUGGGGAGCAAACAGG
rnacentral:rRNA from 1 species